rnacentral:rRNA from 1 species
GACGAACGCUGGCGGCGUGCUUAACACAUGCAAGUCGAACGGUAAGGCCCUUCGGGGUACACGAGUGGCGAACGGGUGAGUAACACGUGGGUGAUCUGCCCUGCACUUCGGGAUAAGCCUGGGAAACUGGGUCUAAUACCGGAUAGGACUCCGGACUGCGAGGUCUGGGGUGGAAAGCUUUUGCGGUGUGGGAUGGGCCCGCGGCCUAUCAGCUUGUUGGUGGGGUGAUGGCCUACCAAGGCGACGACGGGUAGCCGGCCUGAGAGGGUGACCGGCCACACUGGGACUGAGAUACGGCCCAGACUCCUACGGGAGGCAGCAGUGGGGAAUAUUGCACAAUGGGCGCAAGCCUGAUGCAGCGACGCCGCGUGAGGGAUGACGGCCUUCGGGUUGUAAACCUCUUUCAGCACAGACGAAGCGCAAGUGACGGUAUGUGCAGAAGAAGGACCGGCCAACUACGUGCCAGCAGCCGCGGUAA